GACGAACGCUGGCGGCGUGCUUAACACAUGCAAGUCGAACGGAAAGGCCCUGCUUUUGUGGGGUGCUCGAGUGGCGAACGGGUGAGUAACACGUGAGUAACCUGCCCUUGACUUUGGGAUAACUUCAGGAAACUGGGGCUAAUACCGGAUAGGAGCUCCUGCUGCAUGGUGGGGGUUGGAAAGUUUCGGCGGUUGGGGAUGGACUCGCGGCUUAUCAGCUUGUUGGUGGGGUAGUGGCUUACCAAGGCUUUGACGGGUCGCCGGCCUGAGAGGGUGACCGGCCACAUUGGGACUGAGAUACGGCCCAGACUGCUACGGGAGGCAGCAGUGGGGAAUAUUGCACAAUGGGCGGAAGCCUGAUGCAGCAACGCCGCGUGCGGGAUGACGGCCUUCGGGUUGUAAACCGCUUUCGCCUGUGACGAAGCGUGAGUGACGGUAAUGGGUAAAGAAGCACCGGCUAACUACGUG
rnacentral:rRNA from 1 species